ACCGUCACAAUCCAUGGAAAAGUCGGACGAGGCUAUCCACGUAAACCUGCAUCUUAAGUUACGAGGGCUCCGUCCCUCAGCGAAAAAGUAUAAAAAUAGCAAUAAGAAUUGGAGCAAGUUAACCUUUUCGUAUUUUCGUAUUUGUGAAAUAUUCGUGCAUGUAUUUCGCGUUUUAUGGUAAUACAGUCAGUAUAAUGUAAGGUACCUACUUGUUCUUAGUUGUUUUUGUCAAGUUCCUGGAAUGGGUUAGCCCCGCAUUAGCAACCCUUAGUCGAGAUGAAGCUGCAAAGUUGACUCUGGGAAUUUGCCGCCGCCGCGCCGCUCAGCUUCCUCUAGAGCCUAAAUAUGAAAGUCAUUAUUCAGUCGGACCAUUCCGUCGCUUAUUUUUUUAUUUUUCAUUCACGAAAUCGGCGACAAAUUUGUACGAGUAUUUUUCAAUCAGGGUGCCUUGAUCAUUGACGUACUGGGUCUGAAGUACCGAUUAAGCCCAUUUUCAACCCGAACACAAAUCUGCAGUUGCCUAGUAUAAUAAUUUACAAAUUCUUGCUGAUAUGAAACCGAAGUCGAUGAAUUGAGACGUUAUUGUUAUUGGAUCUUUACCUACUUGUAUGUACAGGGUGGCCAGAAAUAUCGGGUACCCCUAAAAAAGUUUUCUAACUAAAUACUUCGGUUGGUCACUGUGAAUGAUAAUAAUGAUAACACAAUGAUUGGUUGUUGGACUGGAGAGAUAACAUCCCACCAAUCAUAUGCAUCUAAUAUUUCACGUUGCCAACCUAUAUUUUUAAUGAAAAACUUUCUUAGGGGUACCCGAUAUUUCUGGCCACCAGCUGUAUGUAGUAUCUAUGUAGGUACCUACUUUCAAUCUCCCCUACUUUUCCUUCUCCUUUUCCUAUCACAUAAUGGAUUUUUUAUUUGACAAAAUAUUGACUAAUGAUGAAAUUUGUUUCUAUGAACAGAACUUACUGUAAUUAGAUUCCACAAAGUGCUUGCAGCAAAUCAUUAAAUUAUCAAUGAUCUUUUUUUUUUUAGGAAACUGACUUCCGCAUGCAUCAAUGAUACCUUGGUUUUUUGGUAAUUUGUGAAGUGAUGUUCGCGAAUAUUCAAGUACCUAGUAUAUGGUAAUGAUAAUUAGUAGGUACCUACCAAUUUAUGAGUUGAAUUUAGAAAAAUUGAUAAAAAAAAAACAACUGACCGAUUGCAUCUUCCUUCACAGAAGGGAACCUAACAACUCAAAUUACUUACUUUGGUAACUUCCCACUUGGUUUAUCAGAAUUUCACAUGUAUAUAUUCCUUUGUUUUUUAGUUUUAAUUUCUUGAAAACAAUUAGUGCUCAACAAUCAGUGCUCUUCUCCUGGUCACAAAUGAAGUACGAGAGUAAAUUUAAAAGUAAGGUUUCCAACCCUGUAACUUUGGAACUGGAACGAAAUCAAGACAUAGAAAAAAAAACAGAUUCGGAUUCUACUUAUGAACAUAUUUUAACUUCUUUUCUGCAUAUUUACUUACUAUUUAAUUUGAUACAUUUUUUUCAACCUUUAAAUUAACUUGGAAAUUUCAACCUCGUUGAGCUUUCCAUGCCAAUUUUUCAAGCACUAUUUUACACUUCAUUUUCCGUUUUGAAAAAAAAAAAAAAAAAAACGCAAGGAAUUUUGAGUGGAAAUUGCAAAAAGAGUCGACACUUGGGUAGGUGAGGUGCACUAAUUGCCACACAAGAAACAAAAAACCAUUCAUGCAGUACAAACAUCAAAAUUCCUCUCAAGCUGCGUCGAAGUUUGAAAAAACACCUGAAAAAACACAUCAAACUUUAUGACUUAAGAGGAAUUUUGACCUACUGCAUGGACAGUCUUUUUGUUUCUUGUAUGGUAAAGUGCACCCAUGACCAUCCCUUAACAAUAUUGACAUUUUUGACUCAAAAUUCCUUGCGCUUUUUUUCCUCUAAACGGAAAAUGAAGUGUAAUAUGGUGAUUGGAAAAUUGGGAUAGAAAGCUCAACGAAGUUCAAAUUUCAAAGUUAAUUUAAAGGCUGAAAAAAUGUAUCUGUAUCACAUUAAAAAAUAGUAAAUACAAUGUACAAAAGUUACCAUGUUGGAUGAUUCUUUUACCACAAAUAACAACGAUGAGUUGAUGUUGAGUAGGUAGUUCAAUAAUAAUUUCAGUCAAGUAAAAUGAUCAAAUUAAACAGAUCCUGCUUUUAGGAAAAACUUCAAAUUCAAAUUCAAAUAUUCUUUAUUGUAGUCGACAGCUUUUGCUGUAUUACAAUGUCAGGGCAGUACAUACAAAAAUUUAGGUAUUAAUAGAUACAAAAAAAUAAACAAAGUACAUGCCAUUUUGCAAAUAAGGGUUACAAGUUACGAGUAGAUUUAGGUAAAAAAAUAAAAAUAAAAAAUAUAGAAAAACAAUACAAAAUAAACUUGAAGAACUGCUAUCCAUCAAGCUGCACUGCUGCAGCAUUUCUUCAACGCCAGUAGUUAAUCUAAGUAUGUCUAGAACAGGAAAGAAUAUUGUUCAUUUACACCUUCUUAAUGUAUCAAGAAGAUUAUUUUACAAUAACAUUUAUGAUGAGAAAAAUGAUUACCUAUUUUCUUAAUUCUUUCAAAAUGUUUUCAUCUGUAACAAAAUUUCAAAUCAAAGUAUGUAGUUAACCAAUUAACAAAAUACCUAUUAUACAUAGGUACAUUUAGAAAACUACAAGCAUGGAACAUCUAUGCGAGUAAGUAUUCAAAAAUGAAAAAAUAUAUGGAAUGAAGUUAUCAAACGAAAAAUGUAUCCUGUUAGCGAGUUCAUCCAUGAUAACUUUCCCAAAUCUACACAGUCUAAUUAUUCAAUUAAAAAUUUGUAAUUAGCUAACUGUGUAUUCAAUUAAGUAUAUGUUUAUAAAAUGAGCUAAUUCUUAAGGAUAUGUGCCACUUUACUAAUUACUACGAUAACUAUUCCCUUUAAGAAUAAUCACCAAUUUAUAAUAAAACGGCGAAAAGUGAAACCAAAUUUUAUGUGAAAUUUUUUCAUAUGUAUACUUAUAGUAUUAUUAACGAUCUAAUUACCUAUAUUUCACAAAUUGAGUAAAAAUUCUCGUGAUAUUCAUUUUUUCACCUAUUGCAUUGAAAUAUGUAUUAGCGAUUUCAUUUGGAAUUUUUACAGGGAAUUUUUUAAAUAGAAAUUUUAUCCAUUAAAAUACAUUGUGAAAUUCUUACCUAGGUACCUAAGUACAUAUGUAAUUUUGAUCUGAAAUUUGUAAUCAAACUUUCUCCAUUGAAAAUAUCAUCUGAUUUCGUUGGAAAUUCUUAACUAAUACCUAUAAGGUUAUUUCGGAGUUCUUACUUCAGAUAUUUCCAAUUCAGAGCCAAAAUUAUAAAGAAUUAUUUGCAUCGCUGAUGCAAUCGUCUGCAACACCUCAUCAAUGAGCUCUGUUGUCACUCCAGUAACAUCACACCUAGCACCGGUGAUGCAACAACCGCUCCAAUGUACAUGUACAUUUUGCAGCCUUUCAGCAUGCCUCUAUCUCAACUGGCACAACUAGUGUACCUACGAGAACACACAACUAAUUUUAACCGGUGCGAUUUACAACAACCAAAGAUACCUCCAUGUACUUAUGUACAAAUUUUAAAAUCAAUUCUGGCCAUGGUGGUGGUAGCUCUAGCGUUAUGUGUUCCAGCCUCAACUGGAAACAACCCAUAGCAAAGAACAGACGGCUCCAAAUCCGAUCACCCUAAAUUAUGGGGAAAUCCUGGUAAUCAUUUCCAUCAAUACAGAUAUCAUCAUGGACAGCUCCAAUUAGCAAGCUGUCCUAUAAACAAAGGUGAAAAGUCAGCCCAAUGGAAUGACAAAGUCAUGGCAGCGAACAGAUCUUGUGUGGAAGACCUUGAAAGCUCCCUUACAAAUAACUUUCUCGACCUUACAGAUUAAAAAUUGGUUGGUACAAUAAAAACCAAAUUACACAGCAUGCUGUCGAUUUAUGAUAAAAGAAAUAGAUUCCAUGAUCGAAUUGGCAUUACUGGACUUUGACUUUCUCCAUGAUAUCAUUGUCUUCUUCAUUUGGAUUUGGUCCAAUGUUUUUGACACCAUCUAUAUUUGCAGACACUUUUAUAGAAUAUCCUACUUGUUUUAUUUACGCACCCUCCCAGAUAGUCUUAAAUAGUGUGUAACUGUUGCUUAGCUUCUACAAAUAUUACUUAGUUACUAAGACAUCUUUUGCAUUGUUCUCAUGCAAAAUGCAUGUCAAUAAAACGCAGGGGUUUUUUCUUUUAUUAUAAAUGCCAUUAUCAUCAUGAUGAAACAACGAGUAUGUUUUUUCUAUUUUAUUGUAAUGUAACUGUAAAUGUGGCCCGUACCCCUAGGAAGGAGGAAGGGAAAUUACUACUAGUAGGGGAUCUCUGGUCAACGUAAUGUUUCUAUCUAUGGAUGGGUCCAACAUGCAAUCUGCCUAGUCUGCCAAUGUAUGCUUUACAGUGAGGUAGGGUAUAGGUGGAUUGGGAACGUAAAUAGGUGUCUAAAUUUAUAGUAUAUGUUAAUUGGUAGGAAUUGUAUUAACGAUACCUUUCUGUGCGAAUUUGCGUUAAUUAGUGUGUUAAUAAGUUGUGCGUUGUAUUUCGUGUAAAUCUAGUCAACAAUACACAGUUUAUCUGUAA